rnacentral:rRNA from 1 species
UACGUAGGGGGGCGAGCGUUGUCCGGAAUGAUUGGGCGUAAAGCGUCCGCAGGUGGCUGUGUAAGUCUGCUGUCAAAGAGCAAAGCUCAACUUUGUAAAGGCAGUGGAAACUACACGGCUAGAGUGCGUUCGGGGCAGAGGGAAUUCCUGGUGUAGCGGUGAAAUGCGUAGAGAUCAGGAAGAACACCGGUGGCGAAGGCGCUCUGCUAGGCCGCAACUGACACUGAGGGACGAAAGCUAGGGGAGCGAAUGGG